rnacentral:lncRNA from 1 species
CGCGACCUUGUCUCUCCAGGCCGCGCGCAUAUCCCCGAACUUCCGAUAUCCGGCCUCUAGCUCGGAUAUGUUGAAGACCAGCUGCACAAAAAGGAAGAACCGACUGUUAGUAAGCCGAACUUGCAAGGCUACGAUUAAAAACAGAAGGAAAGGGACUUUACCCGAAUCAGCAUUGGGUAGAAGGACGACAGCAUGUCGG